CCUGAGCCUCCAUCACCAGGCCCGGGAGGAGAGGAGCCAGGCCCCAGGAACACCAAAUCUGACAAACAGGAGGUUAGUUUCCGUGACCCAGGAGGGAGCAACAGUGACGAUGGGGACGAUUUAAACACACUCGUGACGAUGACGGAGGCAGGGCAAUUAACGACACCUGGCGGGAGGGGCAGGCCAACGCACCGGGCACAGAGGGGCAGGGCCCCACGACACCCAGAAACCCAACCGGCUGGCGUCACCUGCCCAGCCUUGGAGCAGACCGGGCCCGGAGCCAAGGGAGAGGAAAGGAAGAGGAGGAAGCUGAGAGUUUCCUCUAGGACGCUGGGCGAGGUGCGAGCGUGGCUGCCUUCGGAUCCCCGGGGCGCCUCUGGACGGCCCUGCCAAGCAGCGGGGUGGCAACCUGUGCCAGCCUGCGAUGUGAAGCCCUAAAGCUUUGGCAUCUCUGCCGGGCUCUGUGCCAGGCGCCUGGCAGGGCCCCAAGAACUACUUCCAGCAAAUCUUCAGCCAACAGCAAAGGUGGGAGAAGCAGGAGGCAGAAGUGGGAAGGGAGGCGUAAAGAGGCCCCUGGAGGCACCGGCUUCAAAUAAGAAGGAGCUGGGGGCCAGACCUGCAGAAGCCUAGGACCUUCAGGAAAUGUGACCUGGUGUGCAAACCCUUGGGGAACCGUCCUGCGGGGCAGCGGCAGGGGGAAGCAAAUGUUCUGUCCUGGGAAGCCCUGUCCAGCGUGGCCGGUUCCUAGCUGGAUGACCUCAGACAAGAUAUUUCACCUCUUGGAGCCUGUUUGCCUCGCUGUGACUUGGGGAUAACACCACCUGCCUGCUGGAGUUGAUGUAAGACUCAAACGAACGAGAGUACGGACGUAAGAUAAUAAUGGAAGUCAUGGUCCUAAUGAUGGCUAAUGCCUUCUAAGCAUUUACUAUGUGCUAGGACAUAUGGUCCCACACAUUUCGCGUGCAUUAACUUGCUUCACGUUCACAAAAGCCCCAUGAGGUACUUGCUGUAAUUAUCUCCACUUAACAGAUGAAGGAACUGAGACACAGAGAGGGUAAGGAAUUUGCCCAGCAUCGCACCACAACUAGCACAGAGCAGGGCUGGCUUUCAAGGUCAGGUUCAUUGGCUCUGGAAUGCACGCUCUCAUCACAGUGCCACACGGAUCUCCCCUCCCACUGCUCUCCCCUCACUGUCUCUGGCCUCCACGCGAUUGUCAGGCACAGUCCCGCCUCCGAGCCUUUGCACCUGCUGCUCUCCGCUGUCAGGAACACUCUCCCUCGCUCAUUUCCGCUCAGUCUGGAUGCCUUCCAACACGCCUCUCCAACAUCUUCCUUGCCCUCCUCCCAUUUUCUGACCCCACUCCCUGCUUUAUCUUUCUCCUUAGCACAUACCGCUCUUUUAACAUGCGAUGUUGUGUUUUAUUUUUAUCUUGCUUAUUGUCUGUCUCUCUUACUAGAAUGCACACUCUAAAAGGGGAGGGGUUUUUAUUUUUGCCCACUGCUAUAGCACCAGCAUCUAAAAUAGUGUCUGAAAACAGCAGAGGUGCAAAAAGAUUUGUUGCAUGAAUGAAUGUUGGACACCGUUC